GAUGAACGCUGGCGGCGUGCCUAAUACAUGCAAGUCGAGCGAACAGAUGAGGAGCUUGCUCCUCUGACGUUAGCGGCGGACGGGUGAGUAACACGUGGAUAACCUACCUAUAAGACUGGGAUAACUUCGGGAAACCGGAGCUAAUACCGGAUAAUAUAUUGAACCGCAUGGUUCAAUAGUGAAAGACGGUUUUGCUGUCACUUAUAGAUGGAUCCGCGCCGCAUUAGCUAGUUGGUAAGGUAACGGCUUACCAAGGCAACGAUGCGUAGCCGACCUGAGAGGGUGAUCGGCCACACUGGAACUGAGACACGGUCCAGACUCCUACGGGAGGCAGCAGUAGGGAAUCUUCCGCAAUGGGCGAAAGCCUGACGGAGCAACGCCGCGUAAGUGAUGAAGGUCUUCGGAUCGUAAAACUCUGUUAUUAGGGAAGAACAAAUGUGUAAGUAACUAUGCACGUCUCGACGGUACCUAAUCAGAAAGCCACGGCUAACUACGUG
rnacentral:rRNA from 1 species